UACGUAGGGGGCGAGCGUUGUCCGGAUUUAUUGGGCGUAAAGAGCUCGUAGGCGGUUUGGUAAGUCGGGUGUGAAAUCUCCACGCUCAACGUGGAGGGGCCACUCGAUACUGCCAUGACUCGAGUCCGGUAGAGGAGUGUGGAAUUCCCGGUGUAGCGGUGAAAUGCGCAGAUAUCAGGAGGAACACCGGUGGCGAAGGCGGGUCUCUGGGCCGAUACUGACGCUGAGGAGCGAAAGCGUGGGGAGCGAACAGG
rnacentral:rRNA from 1 species